AUUUAGUGGCGUUGAAUGCUAAUUGAAUCCCAGUUAUUUUCUCUAACUUCAAAAAAGUAUUGAGAAUGACUUCAUAGCCGUUACGAUAUUUUGGUUAAUAUAUUGUUCAAUGCUGCUAUUUUCAAUUACAGAGUGAUACCAGUCUGUCAAUAUCAUCAGAAGUCUAACUUGGGUAAAGGCCACUGACUAUCAUUUCAUCAACAUCAUCCUCAUCAUCACUUUUACUCAAUCAAAGGCAGCUGCUUUCAUCAUUGAUCACAGUUCAGAAACAAUCAACGCCAGAAAGCGACCCAAAAUUAUAAAAAUCAGAUCAAAGUAACAUCAGCAGCUCGUCAAAAAAUGAAUCCCGUCUAUUUCUGCCUUGUAACUAUUCUCGCUGCCUCAUUGGGUGAGUCAUCAUACUCCACCCAUCGGACUCUAACCCAAAGCCAUAAGUGUGGCCCAAUGCCAUUCUACACAAUCAUGUCCAUGGCCCGAUCCAUAGACGACUUUUGUUCAGUCUACCCUGGUGCGACAAUUGAGUUAGUGGCCCAGCCAACAAACAGUGACUUCGGAUUUGAAUCGUACAAACAAGACGAACAUAAGAAGGCGCUCGGAGUUUUCAGAUUGGCCGAAAGCCAGGAUCCCGAAUCGAUAAUGGGCAAAAGGGGGAGCUAUGGGAAGAGAAUAGGCGUAUUCAGGGUUUCCGAAGGCGGUGAUAAAGACCAGGCAUUAUUGGGAAAAAGGGGAAUCUACCACAAAAGAAUGUUCAGUUCAUAAUCAAAACAAUAACUGAGAUCUCAAAAUAGGCCGGAUAAUUUUUUAUUAAAAUUGUUUAACCAAGUUGAGUAAUUGUCAAAUUAUCUGCCGUUGAUCUGAACUGUAUAAUUUAUUGUU